rnacentral:piRNA from 1 species
UGUCCUUGAGAAUUUACCCUUCCUGAGUC